CCCCCCCCUGAAAAUCCUGAAGUUUCCCUUUAAGUCAUGCAAGAUAAUUGCAAUAACAACAGUACCAUCUCCUGUAGUUUCACUCUGCUCAAAAUGACUAAGACCUAACUUUUUUUGUAUGAAUCCUGUCUCCUUCGUGGAAAUGAUGUUACUUAAAUGGACUGUGAAAUGGAACAAACCCUAGCCUAUAUUAUGUCGUAGUAUAUUAUAUAGCAUAGUAUUUUAAUAAUUAUUAUUACUAUCAUCUUCAAGAAGCUCAGUGCUCUUCUUUGGAGUGGUGGGUCAGUGCCAGUGUUUACUGAAGUUUGUCUGGGAUGGAACUACAAGAAUGGCCACUUUGCAUGUUGUUUGAGUUUGCGCUGUUAUUUCCCUAAUCAAGUGAUCUCACAUUCACUGUUUUCACUCACAGAUUUACUUGUUUUGCAUAAGAUGAGCUGGUACAGACGCAUCCUCACUGUCUCUCUCACCUUCGGAUAUACACAAGUCUGUGUGUUUUUAACCUCUGUCAGAAAUGUCUGUUUUAAUAGUUAUCUGUGUAUUUUUGUGGAUGGACAGAUGUCGUUCUUCUGCAGCUGGAAAUUCAUGCGACGAGGGCUCAUACAACCACACAGGAAAGCUAAGGACUGAAUUAAAUGAUGUGGUUUAUGAGUUUUCUUUGGAAGCUGUGCCCUGGAUGGAGGCUAAUGGCACCUGUGAGAAGCGGGGAGGACGGCUUCUUGGGGCCCUGAACUGUAGGCUCAAAGACGCUCUUCAAGACAUGAUAGCAGCAAGACGAAGAAGGUCUGAGGCCUGGUGGGUGGGCCAGAGCCUGAUGGGGAAAUAUGAGGAGAAUCCAUUUAAUGGUGAAUCUACAGAGAAGGCAGACAAGCAGGGGAGAGAGGCAGCACCUAGCAAGGAAAACACUACAGGUGCAGUCUUACUGAUCCCCACAGUCUAAAGUGGAAGUAGAACUUUUGAUGCAAAUGCAUGAUCAUCCAUCAUUUAUCGUGUGGUCUCAGAAAAAGAGUAUUUGGCAGGUGUAACAGAAUCCCUAUAACAUUUAAGAGCGGAUUGCCUCACAAUGUUUUGUGAUAUUGUGUGAUAUUGAUUGAAGUCCUUUUUCAUUUCUAAAUCAAAACUGUCAGUGGGGAAUACUCUGGACAAAACAUCCUACUACUGCUCAUACAUGAUCAUGGAUCCAUUCAAAGUGGCGACCACACAGUAUUGCACCAUGAACCUCUCCUACAUCUGUCAACUGGGUAUGAUAUUCUCUAACUAGCACUAAUCAGUAAUGUGCCAUCAGACCUCAUUAGAUUCAGUGAGAGGAACACAAGAGUGUUUAACAAAGCUUUCUUUUUCUCUAAUGUUAUUUGAAACUCCUAGAGGGUUCUUGGCAAGCUCUUGAAUUCACUCUCUCACUUAACAAAGCAACAUGUUGCAAUGAAAAAAACAAUAAUAAUCAAGAUAAACAAAAAAAAAUACCAUAAUUCCAUAAGGAUAUAAAGCAAGAUAUUCACAGAGAAAAUCAUUUGAAAAACAGCUUUGUUGUUCUCUCAUAGAUCUGAAACCCUCAACACAACUUCAGGCUGCUGUGAGUUGUACUUUUAUGAAACAUUAUUCGUUGCCAAUAUCAGUGAUUUUGCUUUUACUGUUAAGAUCACAUGUAUCCAUAUCCCUGUUUCUAUAUUUAUAGGACAACACUAGUCAGAGAUUGAUUCAUCGGACCAAACGGAGCACACCUGCAGGUCAGUGAGAUCAUUUAGCUUUUUUAUUUAGUAUACAAUUUAUGGUUAGGUUUAAUUACAGGGAAAACACUCAUCCACCUCCUCUCUUGCUAUUUGCAGAAACACAAAUUGAGCAUCAUUUGAGUACCAUGACAAACAAGCUUAAACUGCUUGACCUUGAUGCUUUCCUAGAGGUCAGAUUUCAUUAAGACAUUCUGAUAUCCUUUGUUAUUC
rnacentral:lncRNA from 1 species